rnacentral:lncRNA from 1 species
GGAGCACCUGCUGAGCAUCCUGGAGCAAAAGAGGCAGAAGGUGGAGAUCGGAGUGCACCUGGGAACCAAGUUCUCAGAAGAGUACCUGCGCAGGAUCCCUGGUGGGGCGUGGCCGAAGGUGAUUAUCAUCGCCGACGGCUCUUGCGGGGAUUCCUGCUCGGUGCUGGGCAUCAGUUCCGACUACAUUGUGGAGUCCUGCCACGCCUACGGGGCCAACGCCACUAUAGAGAGGCUGGACCAGAGACAGGUCCCCACUCCAGAAAUUAAAGCGCAUAAUCUGUAUUUUGAUCUGUCGGCCUACGGCGUGGAUGCCCUGAAGGAGCCCCGCAACCCCACCCAGCCCACGGCCAAACCUGGGUUCCACCUGAAGAUCUACGGGACGUUCCGGAACCGCUACAUGGCUUUGGCCUGUACAGCUGCCGACACCAAGAUGGUGCGCUUCCUCCGCCACACGGCAAACUCCUCAAUCAUGAAGAACAUAUUCCACCAGUCUUUCAACGCUUACAAGACAGACAUCGAGCCCCGGCUGAACGACCUCACCCUGCACCACAUGCAGUGCAGCCGCAAGCUCUUCGAGAUCAUGCUGUCACACCGGCGUGUCAGCGCUGCCUACAUCGAAGGUGACAAUGUGGCUGUCACCGUGGAGGGAGAGGCUGCCCGCGUGCUCAACUUCGACACGGGCUGCGGUGUUAACCUGGGCAUGAGGGGGCUGGAGUCCUUGGGGACAUUUAUAUACAAAACUGCCACUGCGCUGGAUCAGAACGAUGUGUUUGAAGCGCUCUCAGCCAAGAUCCAGCACUCCAAACAGGUGGCAGAGACCUUCAGGCAAACAGGACUGGCCUCAACCCUGUUUGAAUGAAUCCUGUGCAUUUGUGUGUGUGUGUGUGUGUGUGUGAGAGAGAGAGAGAUAAAGCAAAAAAAAGGUGAAAUGAAGAGUGAAUUGCACCAUAGUGGAAUUUUGUAUGGCUGGGUCAGCCUACGUGACAUUGCAGAGCAAAGUUGCAUACUGUAAUUGUCUUGAAUUCAUAAAAAAUAAUCUUCUGCUUCGGUAUAGUAAUUAGUUGUAUAUGUAUUGAAAUUGAAAGUAUCAACUUGUGUAAAUUACAAACUGGCCCAGUGUAAAUACUUAAAUUGAGCCUAUAUUCUGAUUGGACCAACUACCACUGAUUUAUUUAAAUCUACUGUAAAGUUUUGAAUCACAUGUUGGUGUUUUACUGUAAGUGAGUCCCAAUAAAGUGCCUGGUAAAUUU